rnacentral:ncRNA from 25 species
GGGUGCCACCGCAACAACGCGGCAGGGCAGGUUAAUUUAGCGAAGGUCGGGCCGCCAUCG